UACGUAGGGUGCGAGCGUUGUCCGGAAUUAUUGGGCGUAAAGAGCUCGUAGGCGGUGUGUCGCGUCGGCCGUGAAAACCUGGGGCUCAACUCUGGGCGUGCGGUCGAUACGGGCAUCACUAGAGUUCGGCAGGGGAGACUGGAAUUCCUGGUGUAGCGGUGAAAUGCGCAGAUAUCAGGAGGAACACCGGUGGCGAAGGCGGCGACCUGGGUCGAGACUGACGCUGAGGCGCGAAAGCGUGGGGAGCAAACAGG
rnacentral:rRNA from 1 species